AAUGUGAGUUACACAACUAUAUUAUAGAUUACAGAGCUACAUUAUGCAUCGACAACACAUGUUAUAGCUAGGAUUUGCAUAUUGUGGCUGUGUACUCUAUAUCAUAGCUGUGUAACGCAUAUUUGACGUAUGGAAAAUAUAGCUGUGUGCUGCAUAUCAGAAAAUGUAUGGGACCAUGCAUUCAAAUUGUGAUUCGUACUGACGCUUGGUUAUUUGAGCGAGUGCGGCA